rnacentral:rRNA from 1 species
GACGAACCGUGCGAACGUUGUUCGGAUUCACUGGGCUAAAAGGGCGCGUAGGCGGUCGACCAAGUCUGGGGUGAAAUCUUUCGGCUUAACCGGAAAAGUGCCCCCGAUACUGGCCGGCUAGAGGGAGAUAGGGGCAUGUGGAACUUCCGGUGGAGCGGUGAAAUGCGUAGAUAUUGGGAAGAACACCGGUGGCGAAGGCGGCUAUCUGGCCCGUAAUUGACGCUGAGGCGCGAAAGCGUGGGGAGCAAACAGG